rnacentral:rRNA from 1 species
UACGGAGGGUGCAAGCGUUAUCCGGAUUUACUGGGUUUAAAGGGUGUGUAGGCGGGUCUAUAAGUCAGUGGUGAAAUCUCCGGGCUCAACCCGGAAACUGCCAUUGAUACUAUAGGUCUUGAAUAUUGUGGAGGUGGGCGGAAUGUGUCAUGUAGCGGUGAAAUGCUUAGAGAUGACACAGAACACCGAUUGCGAAGGCAGCUCACUACGCAGUUAUUGACGCUGAGGCACGAAAGCGUGGGGAUCAAACAGG